rnacentral:lncRNA from 1 species
CUCUCUCUCUCUCUCUCUCUCACAAAAACACACCGGAAAACACAGCAACCCUGCUCAGUAGCUACGAAGUCACUUACCACUGCUUAACACCUCUGAAGUUGACCUAGGUCAUCGGAAGAAGUAAAGAAUGCCAGAAAGCCUCGUCGGCAUCACCGCAGCAGCUCGCCGGAAAACUCAAAAUCGACAAUAAAGGGGUUAUUAAGAUUUGUAAAAGAUUCGAGGGAUUAAGGGCACUAGGGUGCAGAGAAUGAAGGGAAAAGUUCGAAUAUGCCAGUUCGAGGCCAAGUCGUCGUCGGAGACGGCGGAAAUAGACGACACAGUCGGAGCUUCUCGUCGUAGAUUUGUCUUUGAAUCAGUAUGUGCGAUUCACGGGCUGGGUUAUGUAGAGGGGAAAGAGAGAAGAAAUUUGGUGGUGGUUUUGUGGAGAAUGGUGGCCAGAGUCGGCCCGACGGCGUCAGAGAAGACGGCUGGGGACGGAGAGCUUCUCAGCUCUCGUCGUACACGAGAGAGGAGAGCUUGACCCGACUUGGGUCAGUUGACCUUGGUUGGGUUUUCAAAGAAGGAAUCAACGGUCAGGAUUAAAAGAGAACGAGAUCAAAAUGGUCUACUUGUUUACAAAGACUAACCUACCUGUUUUGCGAAAAUAGUGUACAAGCUAUUCGAAUCAUUGUCUCACACUACGAGUAGACCAACUCUAAAGAGUCCAGAAUUCACACACACUUGAAGAAUUCUUGAGAUGUCUACCUGUUUACGAAGCUUGGUCUGCUUAUUUACAAGUACGGGUCUACUUUUUUUGUGAGACAAAAUUGUCUACCUGUUUACGAACACUAACCUACCUGUUUUGUAAACAUGGUGUACCAGGUUUCUGAAUCAUUGACUCAUACUACGAGUAGACCAACACUAAAGUGUCCAGAAUUCACACACACUUGAAGAAUUCUUGAGAGGUCUACCUGUUUACGAAGCCUGGUCUGCUUAUUUACAAGAAAGGGUCUACUUUUUUUCUGAGACAAAAUGGUCUACAUGUUUAUGAACACAAACCUACUUGUUUUGUAAACAUGGUUUACCAAGUUUCCAAAUCAUUGACUCAUACUACGUGUAGACCAACUCUAAAGUGUCCAGAAUUCACACACACUUGAAGAAUUUUUAAGAGGUCUACCUGUUUAAGAAGCCUGGUCAGCUUAUUUACGAGAAAUGGUCUACUUUUUUUGUGAGACAAAAUAGUCUACCUGUUUACGAACACAAACCUACCUGUUUUGUAAACAUGGUCUACCAGGUUUUCGAAUCAUUUUAUCACACUACGAGUAGACCAACUCUAAAGAAUCCAGAAUUCACACACACUUGAAGAAUUCUUGAGAGGUCUACCUGUUUACGAAGCAUGGUCUGCUUAUUUACGAGUACGGGUCUACUUUUUUUGUGAGACAAAAUGGUCUACCUGUUUACGAAUACGAACCUACCUGUUUUGUAAACAUGGUCUACCAGGUUUUCAAAUCAUUGUCUCACACUACAAGUAGACUAACUCUAAAGAGUCCAGAAUUCACACACACUUAAAAAAUUCUUGAGAGGUCUACCUGUUUACCAUUAAUAAUGCUAGUUGUAUAUGCCCUGAGCAAUAUGAGGUCGUGGAUAACUGGAUAUAAAAGGUGUAAGCUAUGAAAUUAAAUGAAAUUAAUACUAGUGGUAGCACCUUCCGAUAAUGCAAUUAUAGAAGACCAAGUUUUGCAUCUCAUGAGCAACAUCUCCACUCCAAAGUGAAGUGCACCCUGUAAAUGUAUCACCAUUAAUGCAAUCAUCUCAAUAAUGGCUAGAGUAUGAUUUGUGAACAAUUUAAGACUAUACAAAAAAGACAAUUAAAUAAAAGAAAUAAACCUUGUUGGAUCAGGACUAAAACAUAAAAGAAAAAAGCUCAAAUCCGGAUCAGUGGAAAAGGAUUGGAGAGGGGCUAGAAGAUUGGAACAAGGAAGACCUCCGACUCGGAUUUAGUUUUGACAAUUAAUCAAGAUUGGAACUUUACCUUAACUUGAGAUACAUAGGACAAGCCAGCACUUCUAUGGUUAACCGAAGUCCAUGGAAAGACCAGAUCGGUAAAUGAGCUAUUGAAAGUUUAGCAAGCAUAUAAANNNNNNNNNNNNNNNNNNNNCUGUUUUGUAAAUAUGGUCUACCAGGUUUUCGAAUCAUUUUAUCACACUACGAGUAGACCAACUCUAAAGAAUCCAGAAUUCACACACACUUGAAGAAUUCUUGAGAGGUCUACCUGUUUACGAAGCAUGGUCUGCUUAUUUACGAGUACGGGUCUACUUUUUUUAUGAGACAAAAUGGUCUACCUGUUUACGAAUACGAACCUACCUGUUUUGUAAACAUGGUCUACCAGGUUUCCGAAUCAUCGACUCAUACUACGUGUAGAC